CUGAGAGUCGCCUCACUGUGCCGUUUGGACCUGUGCGCCACGCGUACGCGCUUUCUCUUGGUGGAUUUAUGUCUGCUCUGGGCCGGAGGAGGAUUUUCCUACCACUUUGGUCCCGUUUUGUGGAAAUAAGCGGAGCUGUUGUGGAUUAAUGGGACUGCGCUCGGGUUGCGCGAAGACUCAGGGGAGUCCGGAUUCCGUCUGUCUCGCGUCUCUGUGGAAAGGUCUGUAGUCUCGGGAGCCAAUCAGGGCUGGGCCCCUGUCUGGAGUCUGGACUUCUCACCUGAAUCUGGAUGUUUCCCCUUCAUUGAUUGGCUCUCCUGUGAAGCUGCUGGUGAUUGGACGGCCCUGAAUUCAAGUCUGUGAGGGGCCGACGCCGAAUGAUGACGACAGGCCAUAUGUGCAGAGGAGGAGACGUUAAAAUGACCACAUGGAUUCUGAUUGGACCGUUCUGACGGCGCUGCACAGUCCAAGGUUGGAGAGGAAUCUGGUGUGGCCCAGAUCUGGUCUGAGGACAUCUGGUCCAGUCUGCUCACACUGCUGUGGACACACCAGGUUUCCAGGAAGCAGAGGAGAGAGAGAGGUGUCCGCCUUCGGUGGAUUCAGAACAUCGGCAGAAAGGAUUUCAUCCCAAAAAACAGUAGUACGGACAUCUGAGGGCGUCCACCCUGCUUCCUGACUUCCUGUUUACUUCCUGGCCCACUGUGAGCACUUCCUGCACCUGGAGGCGCCACCUGUCCAUCACAGAAGAUUUUCACACUCCGACGCACACCAUGACCUGCUGACAUCACCCUGCUGCCCCCCCCCUCCCCCCCCCCCC